UACGUAGGGGGCGAGCGUUGUCCGGAUUUAUUGGGCGUAAAGAGCGUGUAGGCGGCCAGGUAGGUCUGCUGUGAAAACUCGAGGCUCAACCUCGAGACGUCGGCGGAAACCAUCUGGCUAGAGUCCGGAAGAGGAGAGUGGAAUUCCUGGUGUAGCGGUGAAAUGCGCAGAUAUCAGGAAGAACACCCGUGGCGAAGGCGGCUCUCUGGGACGGUACUGACGCUGUGACGCGAAAGCGUGGGGAGCGAACAGG
rnacentral:rRNA from 1 species